rnacentral:rRNA from 1 species
UACGUAGGGUGCGAGCGUUAAUCGGAAUUACUGGGCGUAAAGCGUGCGCAGGCGGUGAUGUAAGACCGUUGUGAAAUCCCCGGGCUUAACCUGGGAACUGCAUUUGUGACUGCAUCGCUGGAGUGCGGCAGAGGGGGAUGGAAUUCCGCGUGUAGCAGUGAAAUGCGUAGAUAUGCGGAGGAACACCGAUGGCGAAGGCAGCCUCCUGGGAUAACACUGACGCUCAUGCACGAAAGCGUGGGGAGCAAACAGG